GGGAGCAGCCCGCCGGCGGCCAACUAAACUCUUGUUUCUAUAGUGAAUCUCUGAGUAAAAAACAUAAAUGAAUCAAAACUUUCAACAACGGAUCUCUUGGUUCUGGCAUCGAUGAAGAACGCAGCGAAAUGCGAUAAGUAAUGUGAAUUGCAGAAUUCAGUGAAUCAUCGAAUCUUUGAACGCACAUUGCGCCCUCUGGUAUUCCGGAGGGCAUGCCUGUUCGAGCGUCAUUUCAACCCUCAAGCCUGGCUUGGUGAUGGGGCACUGCCUGUGAAAGGGCAGGCCCUGAAAUCUAGUGGCGAGCUCGCCAGGACCCCGAGCGUAGUAGUUAUAUCUCGCUUUGKAAGGCCCUGGCGGUGCCCUGCCGUUAAACCCCCAACUUCUGAAAAUUUGACCUCGG
rnacentral:rRNA from 1 species